rnacentral:pre_miRNA from 1 species
CAUCUUACCGGGCAGCAUUAGAUUACAUUUUAUACUUCUAAUACUGUCAGGUAAAGAUGUC